rnacentral:rRNA from 1 species
GAUGAACGCUGGCGGCGUGCCUAACACAUGCAAGUCGAGCGAUCUUCUUCGGAAGAGAGCGGCGGACGGGUGAGUAACGCGUGGGUAACCAGCCCUGUACACACGGAUAACAUACCGAAAGGUAUGCUAAUACGAGAUAAUAUACUUUUAUCGCAUGGUAGAAGUAUCAAAGCUCCGGCGGUACAGGAUGGACCCGCGUCUGAUUAGCUAGUUGGUAAGGUAACGGCUUACCAAGGCGACGAUCUGUAGCCGACCUGAGAGGGUGAUCGGCCACAUGGGAGCUGGGACACGGUCCAAACUCCUACGGGAGGCAGCAGUGGGGAAUAUUGCACAAGGGGCGAAAGCCUGAUGCAGCAACGCCGCGUGAGCGAUGAAGGCCUUCGGGUCGUAAAGCUCUGUCCUCAAGGAAGAUAAUGACGGUACUUGAGGAGGAAGCCCCGGCUAACUACGUGCCAGCCGCCGCCGUAA